CACUCCUGCGGGAGGCAGCAGUGGGGAAUAUUGCACAAUGGGCGCAAGCCUGAUGCAGCGACGCCGCGUGGGGGAUGAAGGCCUUCGGGUUGUAAACUCCUUUCGCUAGGGACGAAGCUUUUUUGUGACGGUACCUAGAUAAGAAGCACCGGCUAACUACGUGCCAGCAGCCGCGGUAAUACGUAGGGUGCGAGCGUUGUCCGGAAUUACUGGGCGUAAAGGGCUCGUAGGUGGUUUGUCGCGUCGUCUGUGAAAUUCUGGGGCUUAACUCCGGGCGUGCAGGCGAUACGGGCAUAACUUGAGUGCUGUAGGGGUAACUGGAAUUCCUGGUGUAGCGGUGAAAUGCGCAGAUAUCAGGAGGAACACCGAUGGCGAAGGCAGGUUACUGGGCAGUUACUGACGCUGAGGAGCGAAAGCAUGGGUAGCGAACAGGAUUAGAAACCCUGGUAGUCCC
rnacentral:rRNA from 1 species